GGCGAGUGAAGCGGCAAAAGCUCAAAUUUGAAAUCUGGCACUUUCAGUGUCCGAGUUGUAAUUUGAAGAAGGUAUCUUUGGGUCUGGCUCUUGUCUAUGUUUCUUGGAACAGAACGUCACAGAGGGUGAGAAUCCCGUGCGAUGAGAUGUCCCAGACCUAUGUAAAGUUCCUUCGAAGAGUCGAGUUGUUUGGGAAUGCAGCUCUAAGUGGGUGGUAAAUUCCAUCUAAAGCUAAAUAUUGGCGAGAGACCGAUAGCGAACAAGUACAGUGAUGGAAAGAUGAAAAGAACUUUGAAAAGAGAGUGAAAAAGUACGUGAAAUUGUUGAAAGGGAAGGGCUUGAGAUCAGACUUGGUAUUUUGUAUGUUACUCUCUCGGGGGUGGCCUCUACAGUUUACCGGGCCAGCAUCAGUUUGAGCGGUAGGAUAAGUGCAAAGAAAUGUGGCACUGCUUCGGUAGUGUGUUAUAGUCUUUGUCGAUACUGCCAGCUUAGACUGAGGACUGCGGCUUCGGCCUAGGAUGUUGGCAUAAUGAUCUUAAGUCGCCCGUCU
rnacentral:rRNA from 1 species